AUUGAACGCUGGCGGCAGGCCUAACACAUGCAAGUCGAGCGAGCGGCGGACGGGUGAGUAAUGUCUGGGAAACUGCCUGAUGGAGGGGGAUAACUACUGGAAACGGUAGCUAAUACCGCAUACCAUCAGAUGUGCCCAGCUGGGAUUAGCUGGUAGGGGGGGUAACGAGUCACCUCGGCGACGAUCCCUAGCUGGUCUGAGAGGAUGACCAGCCACACGGGAACGGAGACACGGUCCAUACUCCUACGGGAGGCAGCAGAGGGGAAUGUUGCACAGUGGUGGCAAGCCUGAUGCAGCCAUGCCGCGUGUGUGAAGAAGGCCUUCGGGUUGUAAAGCACUUUCAGCGGGGAGGCGUUACCCGCAGAAGAAGCACCGGCUAACUCCGUGCCAGCAGCCGCGGUAAUUC
rnacentral:rRNA from 1 species